CCUAGCUGGAGUAGGUGACCUGCGGAGGAUCAUUACCGAGUGCGGGCCCUCGCGGCCCAACCUCCCACCCUUGUCUCCAAUACACCUGUUGCUUUGGCGGGCCCACCGGGGCCACCUGGUCGCCGGGGGACGCACGUCCCCGGGCCCGCGCCCGCCGAAGCGCGCUGUGAACCCUGAUGAAGAUGGGCUGUCUGAGUACUAUGAAAAUUGUCAAAACUUUCAACAAUGGAUCUCUUGGUUCCGGCAUCGAUGAAGAACGCAGCGAAAUGCGAUAAGUAAUGUGAAUUGCAGAAUUCCGUGAAUCAUCGAAUCUUUGAACGCACAUUGCGCCCCCUGGCAUUCCGGGGGGCAUGCCUGUCCGAGCGUCAUUUCUGCCCUCAAGCACGGCUUGUGUGUUGGGUGUGGUCCCCCCGGGGACCUGCCCGAAAGGCAGCGGCGACGUCCGUCUGGUCCUCGAGCGUAUGGGGCUCUGUCACUCGCUCGGGAAGGACCUGCGGGGGUUGGUCACCACCACAUUUUACCACGGUUGACCUCGGAUCAGGUAGGAGUUACCCGCUGAACUUAAGCAUAUCAAUAAGCCGGAGGAAUC
rnacentral:rRNA from 1 species